rnacentral:lncRNA from 1 species
GGGAGAUUUCCACUUGAACUGCAAAUCAAGUUGAAAAUGGUAUGUUUUUGGCACAAGCUAGCAACAAAUGAUAAAAAACUAUCGGGUAAACUUUAUAAGUUACUUUGGUACAUGCAUGAGCAUGAAGGUUGUAAUUUUAAGUGGUUUAACUAUGUAAAAUCUGUGUUUAAUGAUUGUGGCUUUUGUGAACUAUAUAAUCUGCAGCAAGUUGAUUAUAAUUAUAUUAAAAUUAAUGUAAGGCAGCGUCUCCAUGACCAGUUUAUUCAAAAAUGGUUCUCAGAUAUAAACAAUUCAUCAAGGGGG